rnacentral:rRNA from 1 species
UCCGUAGGGUGCGAGCGUUGUCCGGAAUUAUUGGGCGUAAAGAGCUUGUAGGCGGUUUGUCGCGUCUGCCGUGAAAAUCCGGGGCUCAACCCCGAACUUGCGGUGGGUACGGGCAGACUAGAGUGUGGUAGGGGAGACUGGAAUUCCUGGUGUAGCGGUGAAAUGCGCAGAUAUCAGGAGGAACACCGAUGGCGAAGGCAGGUCUCUGGGCCACUACUGACGCUGAGAAGCGAAAGCGUGGGGAGCGAACAGG